CGACUUCAUUUAUCUGCCUCGACCCCGACCCUGGCUGGUAGACAGCACUCCUGAUGCACGGGACGAGGGAGCGGCACGAGCAAAGGCCCUGAAACAGGAGGGAGCGCGUUAACUUAGGUACUACUGGGCUUUCUCGACUGAAGUCCCGGAAGAGGAAACAAGUAUUUUCCAGCUGGGCCACCACCUGUGACAAGUUGUCAUUUGCACGGAGCUGGGAUUCUGUUCUGGGUUAGACACCCAGAAGCGGAAACGCUGGGUCGUAUGGUGAGCGGAUGUGAUUCUGCUCUGUUUGACCUGGUGUUCAGGAUUUUCGACAAAGAUGAUCAUGUCAUCUGUUAACAGAUAUGUUGUCAUUACCAUGGGGAUUACCCGAAACAUCCUGAAGUUAGAGCAAUCCAUUUUAAACUGAUACUUGUCUGGUGUCCAAGAGGGGAAUAACUUAGCGCUUGAUUGAAAAAAAUAAACCCUAAGGAAGGGAGAGGACCUUAACUGCAGAUACCAUUCCAUUGUGACACUGUGGCUAUUCUCCGAGGUUCCCGUGGAGCCACAGCACCUCCCGUCUUGGCACUUCAUAGUUGUCUCAUCGAGUCCAAGGCUGCCUCCCAAGGGUCUGGUUGGUAGACCAUGAAGUUGAUUCCUGCCUUAAGCCUGGCUCUGCAAGCAGUUGUCGUAUAUUCUCACCAGUCACAUUUUUGGUACUAGAACGGUGCUUUUUAUAGUGCACUCAUAACUGGACGCUGAAAUCACAACCUGGCCAUUUGGAUGUUCAACCAAUGCUUUAUGCUGCUGAGUCCUUGGAACUCACCACCCAUGCCGGAACUCACUGGAGCUCAGGUGUGUGGCACUACCUUGUUUCUCUGCAGCUGGUAUUGCAAACAUUUUUCAUGCAUUUAUUUCCCAUUGUUUACUUUUGAGUUUUUGUUUUGUGAGACAGGGUCUCAGUCUGUCACGCAGGCAGGAGUGUGAUCAUGGCUCACUGCAGCCUUGACCUCCUGGGUUCAAGCUGGGUUCAAGCAAUCUCGCCUCAGCCUCCCAAAGUGCUGGGAGUACAAGUGUGAGCCACCACACCUGCCCUACUUUUGAGCUUUGAGUUCUUUAUAUAUUCUAGAGAUGAGUCCUCGGUCUGAUAGGCGGUUUGUAAACAUUUUUCCCAAUCUGUAGCUUAUCUUUCCAUCUUCUUAAUAGAGUCUUUCAGACAGCAAAAAUAAGAUCUCUCUUGCAAAUACUCUGCCUCUGUAGCAUUCAUGGUAAAGAUAUCUCUAGACAGAUCAGUGCUGAGAGGCUAUUUCAUUCUUAAAUAAUUGUUGAGCUGGGUACACACGCUAACCUCAUGCUUAUUUUCUCUUACUCCACUGUCUUCUGCUGUUGCUGGUGGGAGAUCAGUUAUCAACAUGUUCCUUCUUUCCACUCUCUUCGGUAGCUUUUAGGACCUUUUCUUUGUUUUUUCUGCAGUUUAGUUCUGAUGGGUCUUGGUAUGGAUGGAUGGAUUUAUUGUAUUGGGGAUCAUGCCUGCUGACUCUAAAGGGUCCUGUGUCUGUUUUCAUUCUGGAAUUUUUUUUUUUUUUUGAGACGGAGUCUUGCUCUGUUGUUCAGGCUGGAGUGCAGUGGCGCAAUCUCGGCUCACUGCAACCUCCUGGGUUCAAGCGAUUCUCCUGCCUCAGCCUUCAUAGUUGCUGGGAUUACAGGAGCACGCCACCACACCAGGCUAAUUUUUGUAUUUGUAUCAGAGACGGGGGUUUUGCCAUGUUGGCCAGGCUGGUCUCAAACUCCUGACCUCAGGCGAUCUGCCCAUCUUGGCAUCCCAAAGUGCUGGGAUUACAGGCAUGAGCCACCACACCCGGCAUUUCUUUUAGACACGUUGGAUCCUCUUAUUUCAUCCUCCCUUUGACAUAUUUCCCAAUUCAUUAAUUUUCUCUUCUGCUGUUAAGGUUUUAACAGCAGCCACUAAUUCUGGCAUCUGAAGCUCUUGGAAGUCUACUCCUGUUGUUGCCACUGACUUCUAUGCCCAUUUAGUGGGGCUUUGGCUGUGGGAAUCAUACGCAGCACUGGAUGAUGGAGCUCUCGCCACAUGGGAUCUGAUGCUGUCUCCAGGUAGCUGGUGUUAGAACUGAAUUAGAGGGACACCCUGGUAGUGGGGACAACACACAUUUGGUCACAGAAGUCAUCUGCUGUGUUGAUGACUGUUGUGGUGUGAGAGCAGAGAGAAAACAGGGCUGAGUAUUUUCCCUAAACAGUGGUGUACAUUCAAAUCCCUGAUGAGG